rnacentral:rRNA from 1 species
GACGAACGCUGGCGGCGUGCCUAAUACAUGCAAGUAGAACGCUGAAGGAGGAGCUUGCUCUUCUGGAUGAGUUGCGAACGGGUGAGUAACGCGUAGGUAACCUGCCUGGUAGCGGGGGAUAACUAUUGGAAACGAUAGCUAAUACCGCAUAAGAGUAGAUGUUGCAUGACAUUUACUUAAAAGGUGCAAUUGCAUCACUACCAGAUGGACCUGCGUUGUAUUAGCUAGUUGGUGGGGUAACGGCUUACCAAGGCGACGAUACAUAGCCGACCUGGGAGGGUGAUCGGCCACACUGGGACUGAGACACGGCCCAGAACCCUACGGGAGGCAGCAGGAGGGAAUCUUCGGCAAUGGACGGAAGGCUGAACGAGCAACGCCGCGUGGGUGAAGAAGGUUUUCGGAUCGUAAAACUCUGUUGUAAGGGGAGAACGAGUGGGAGAGUGGAAAGUUCACACUGUGACGGUAUCUUACCAGAAAGGGACGGCUAACUACGUG